CACGAAGAUGCGAGGGAGUAUCACGCUGAGGAUCAAUUGUGACAAAUACAGGUAAGACCUUAGUAUUCUCCUUUGACUCUAAUGUAUCUAUGGCCUUGGCCAUCACUUGGACUUGCUCAGGUCCUACAUCUGGGGAAGAUGUAUAGCCAAAGUACAACAAAACCCAUUUCCCCAUAAAGUCUUGCUCAGUAACAACCCGAUUAUUUGUAUCAACCAGAGUGAAUGGACCGCCAAUAAUAGGGCCCUUCACAUUGGCACAAUCACAUUUGUUGCCUUCACCUUUUGGAAUUGCUCUCCUCUGAUCAUUAGAAUACACCAAAGCUGCCAGUCCAGCAAAUACAGCAACUGGAAUGACAAGAGUACCCCACAUGCGAGGAGCCUGUGNGAGGAGCCUGUGUUUCUACAGGCUUUACAGCUAAAGGACGAGCCUCUGGCUUUACUCGUCUAUGUUCUGUAGAUUUCGUAUGGCUACGAGAUUGAAUCCUUUUAGAUGGACCAAACCUC
rnacentral:misc_RNA from 1 species